rnacentral:sRNA from 1 species
CAGUGACAGUCACGGACUCGGCCUCCCUUGAUGAGCUGCUGCGAGUUGACAUCGGCACUCUGGACCUGGCCAGCAGCCGCCUGGACUCAGCCAUGGCUGUGUGCUUUGGCCCUGCAGCUCUGGGCCACCUGCUGGUGUCCACCUCGUCCAACAGAGUCGUGGUGCUGGAUGCUGUGUCGGGCCGCAUCAUCCGGGAGCUGCCCGGUGUCCACCCUGAGCCCUGUCCCUCCUUGACGCUCAGUGAGGACGCCCGCUUCCUGCUGAUUGCCGCCGGCCGGACCAUCAAGGUGUGGGACUACACGACACAGGCCAGCCCAGGCCCCCAGGUGUACAUCGGCCACUCGGAACCCGUGCAGGCUGUGGCUUUCUCUCCUGACCAGCAGCAGGUCCUCAGCGCAGGGGACGCCGUCUUCCUCUGGGAUGUCCUGGCCACUACUGAGAGGCAAGUGCCUACUCUCAGCUUUGUCUGCCUAGGCCCCCCAGGCCCUCCUGAAACCCUCUCUCCUCCCUCUCCAGCAACCAAAGCUUCCCCGUGGCCCCCCAAGCCUGUGAGGCAGGCUCGGGCAUAGGACCACUGGAGGACGCAUCGUCCAGGGCCAGCGAGCUCCCCCAGCAGCAGGUCCCCAAGCCAUCUCAGGCAUCUCUACCACGGCUGGGCAUCUGUGCCAGGCCUCCCGAAGGUGGCGAUGGUGUCAGGGACACCAGGAAUUCGGGGGCCCCACGCACCACCUGCCUGGCUUCCUACAAGGCCUUCACGCCUGCCAGGGUCAGCUGCAGCCCCCACUCUGCCAAGGGCACUUGCCUGCCUCCCGCCAGCGGUGGGUGGCUGCGUCUGAAGGCUGUCGUUGGCUACAGUGGGAAUGGGCGGGCCAACAUGGUCUGGAGGCCGGACACAGGCUUCUUUGCCUACACCUGCGGCCGCCUGGUGGUGGUGGAGGACCUGCACUCUGGCGCCCAGCAGCACUGGUCCGGCCACUCUGCGGAGGUCUCCACGCUGGCCCUCAGCCACAGUGCCCAGGUCCUGGCCUCUGCCUCAGGCUGCAGCAGCACGACCGCCCAUUGUCAGAUCCGCGUCUGGGAUGUGUCUGGCGGCCUCUGCCAGCAUCUUAUUUCCCACCAUAGCACCACCGUGCUGGCCCUGGCCUUCUCUCCAGAUGACAGGCUUCUUGUCACAUUGGGGGACCACGAUGGCCGCACCCUCGCCCUGUGGGGCACGACCACCUAUGACCUCGUUUCCUCCACCCGCCUCCCGGAGCCGGUGCAUGGCGUGGCCUUCAACCCCUGGGACGCCGGCGAGCUCACCUGUGUGGGCCAGGGCACUGUCACCUUCCGGCUCCUGCAGCAGCGUGGGGCAGACAUCAGCCUUCAGGUGCGUCGAGAGCCGGUCCCAGAGGCAGUGGGGGCUGGAGAGCUGACCUCGCUCUGUUAUGGGGCACCCCCCCUGCUCUAUUGUGGCACCAGCUCUGGCCAGGUCUGUGUCUGGGACACGCGUGCCGGCCGCUGCUUCCUGUCCUGGGAGGCAGAUGACGGUGGCAUUGGACUGUUGCUGUUCUCAGGCUCUCGAUUGGUCAGCGGCAGCAGCGUGGGACGGCUGCGCCUGUGGGCCGUGGGGGCUGUGUCGGAGCUGAGGUGCAAGGGCUCAGGCGCCAGGUCCAGUUCGGUGUUCAUGGAACACGAGCUGGUGCUGGACGGGGCUGUGGUGAGUGCUAGCUUCGAUGACAGCGUGGACAUGGGCGUUGUGGGCACCACGGCGGGCACGCUCUGGUUUGUCAGCUGGGCCGAGGGCACCAGCACGCGUCUCAUCAGUGGCCACAGGAGCAAGGUGAGGGACUUCCAGCCUGGACGGAGGCAGGGCAGCCAAACCUGGUGCCCUCCCUGCCUGCCGGCUCCAUCUCCACCAGCCCAGAUUAUUCCAAGUCCUGCUGUCACUGGCUCGCAGCGGCCGCCUUGGGGUUCCCAGCGGGGAGGUCUUGGGUGUGCACGUCCCUCAAAGCCGUCCCGGUUGUGUCUGCACCAGGGAGCCGCCUGGCAGGCCUUGCAGGUCUUCUCAAACCGUCCUUUCCCUGCUAUUGCUUUGCGUUUUUUGUUUGUUUUUUGUUUUUUGUAAUUGUCAAACAAACCACAUCAGUCCGGGCGUGGUGGUUCAUGCCUGUAAUCCCAGCACUCUGGGAGGCCGAGGCAGGUGGAUCACCUGAGGUCAGGAGUUCGAGACCAGCCUGGUCAACAUGGUGAAAUCCCAUCUCUACUAAAGAUACAAAAAUUAGCCGGGCCUCUUGAUGUAUACCUGUAAUCCCAGCUACUCUGGAGGCUGAGAGAAGAAAAUCACUUGAACCCAGGAGGCAGAGGUUGCAGUGAACCAAGAUCGCACCACUGCACUCCAGCCUGGGCGACAGAGCGAGACUCCAUCUCAAAGG